GUGCUUGCUUCAGCAGCACACAUACUAAAGUUGGAACAAUACAGAGAAGACAAGCAUGGCCCCUGCACAAGGAUGACAUGCAAAUUUGUGAAGUGUUCCAUAUUCUG